UGGGGAAUUUUGGACAAUGGGCGAAAGCCUGAUCCAGCAAUGCCGCGUGUGUGAAGAAGGCCUUCGGGUUGUAAAGCACUUUUGUCCGGAAAGAAAUCCUUGGCUCUAAUACAGUCGGGGGAUGACGGUACCGGAAGAAUAAGCACCGGCUAACUACGUGCCAGCAGCCGCGGUAAUACGUAGGGUGCAAGCGUUAAUCGGAAUUACUGGGCGUAAAGCGUGCGCAGGCGGUUUGCUAAGACCGAUGUGAAAUCCCCGGGCUCAACCUGGGAACUGCAUUGGCGACUGGCAGGCUAGAGUAUGGCAGAGGGGGGUAGAAUUCCACGUGUAGCAGUGAAAUGCGUAGAGAUGUGGAGGAAUACCGAUGGCGAAGGCAGCCCCCUGGGCCAAUACUGACGCUCAUGCACGAAAGCGUGGGGAGCAAAACAGGAUUAGAUACCCUGGUAGUCCACGCCCUAAAACGAUGUCAACUAGUUGUUGGGGAUUCAUUUCCUUAGUAACGUAGCUAACGCGUGAAGUUGACCGCCUGGGGAGUACGGUCGCAAGAUUAAAACUUAAAUGAAUUGACGGGGUC
rnacentral:rRNA from 1 species